CCCUUAGAUGUUCUGGGCCGCACGCGCGCUACACUGAUGCAUUCAACGAGUUUCUUCCUGGUCCGAGAGGAAUGGGUAGCCUUUUGAAAGUGCAUCGUGAUAGGGAUAGACUAUUGCAAUUAUUGGUCUUCAACGAGGAAUUCCUAGUAGACGUAGUUCAUCAGACUGCAUCGAUUACGUCCCUGUCCUUUGUACACACCGCCCGUCGCUCCUACCGAUUGAAUGCUCAGGUGAGCCAUUCGGACCUUCAUCAUGCCGGUUUCCGGUUUUGAUGAGGGAAAGUCUUGCGAACCUUAUCAUUUAGAGGAAGGAGAAGUCGUAACA
rnacentral:rRNA from 1 species